rnacentral:rRNA from 1 species
GCGCAGCAGUCGCGAAAACUCCGCAAUGCGCGAAGGCGUGACGGGGGGACCCCAAGUGCCGCUGGUCUUUUGAUCGGCGGCUUUUCGGGAGUGUAAGAAGUUCCCGGAAUAAGGGCUGGGUAAGUCUGGUGCCAGCCGCCGCGGUAAUACCAGCAGCCCAAGUGGUGGUCGCGAUUAUUGGGCCUAAAGCGCUCGUAGCCGGGUCAGCAAGUCCCUUGUGAAAUCGGGCGGCCCAACCGUUCGGCUUGCAAGGGAUGCUGCUGGCCUAGAGGCCGGGAGACGUCUGAGGUACUCCGGGGGUAGCGGUGAAAUCCUAUAAUCCUAGGGGGACCACCAGUGGCGAAGGCGUUCUGCGAGAACGGGCUCGACGGUGGGGGACGAAAGCCGGGGGCGCAAACGGGAUUAGAUACCCCGGUAGUCC